rnacentral:rRNA from 1 species
CUUUUCAGAGGAAUUUGCUCUUUAAUGGAUAAAACACCAAAAUCUUACUUAGAUUUGUGAUUUCAAUUUGUAUACCACUAUAAAAACAAUUUAUAACUCUAAUUGUUUAAAUUUACAAAAUUAAAAUAUAUUAAGUCAAGGUGCAGUAAAAAUUUAAGAAUGAAGUGAAUUACAUUACUUUUUAGUGAAAUAAAUUUAUAAUAAUACUUAGGAUUUGAAAGUAAAAUUAAAAUAGGAUGUUAAUUU